UACGUAGGGUGCGAGCGUUGUCCGGAAUUAUUGGGCGUAAAGGGCUCGUAGGCGGUUUGUCGCGUCGGGAGUGAAAUCCACUGGCUUAACUGGUGGCUUGCUUUCGAUACGGGCAGACUGGAGGUAUGCAGGGGAGAACGGAAUUCCUGGUGUAGCGGUGAAAUGCGCAGAUAUCAGGAAGAACACCGAUGGCGAAGGCAGUUCUCUGGGCCGUAACUGACGCUGAGGAGCGAAAGCGUGGGGAGCGAACAGG
rnacentral:rRNA from 1 species